GUUUCGAAUCAUUCACAAUGGGCGCAAGCCUGAUGGUGCGACGCCGCGUGAGGGACGAAGGUCUUCGGAUUGUAAACCUCUGUCACUGGGGAUAAAACGUAUGGAGUUAACAACUCCAUGCCUGAUCUAACCCGGAGAGGAAGCAGUGGCUAACUCUGUGCCAGCAGCCGCGGUAAUACAGAGACUGCAAGCGUUAUUCGGAUUCACUGGGCGUAAAGGGUGCGCAGGCGGCCUUGUGUGUCAGGUGUGAAAUCCCGGAGCUUAACUCCGGAACUGCGCCUGAAACUACAAGGCUAGAGUAUUGGAGAGGGUAGCGGAAUUCACGGUGUAGCAGUGAAAUGCGUAGAUAUCGUGAGGAACACCAGAGGCGAAGGCGGCUACCUGGACAAUAACUGACGCUCAUGCACGAAAGCGUGGGGAGCAAAAGGGAUUAGAUACCCCGGUAGUCC
rnacentral:rRNA from 1 species